rnacentral:rRNA from 1 species
CAGCCGCCGCGGUAAUGCGUAGGUGGCGAGCGUUGUCCGGAUUUAUUGGGCGUAAAGCGCGUCUAGGUGGUUAUGUAAGUCUGAUGUGAAAAUGCAGGGCUCAACUCUGUAUUGCGUUGGAAACUGUGUAACUAGAGUACUGGAGAGGUAAGCGGAACUACAAGUGUAGAGGUGAAAUUCGUAGAUAUUUGUAGGAAUGCCGAUGGGGAAGCCAGCUUACUGGACAGAUACUGACGCUGAAGCGCGAAAGCGUGGGUAGCAAACAGGAUUAGAGACCCCUGUAGUCCCUGUCUCUUAUACA